rnacentral:rRNA from 1 species
GACGAACGCUGGCGGCGUGCUUAACACAUGCAAGUCGAACGGAAAGGCCCUGCUUUUGUGGGGUGCUCGAGUGGCGAACGGGUGAGUAACACGUGAGUAACCUGCCCUUGACUUUGGGAUAACUUCAGGAAACUGGGGCUAAUACCGGAUAGGAGCUCCUGCUGCAUGGUGGGGGUUGGAAAGUUUCGGCGGUUGGGGAUGGACUCGCGGCUUAUCAGCUUGUUGGUGGGGUAGUGGCUUACCAAGGCUUUGACGGGUAGCCGGCCUGAGAGGGUGACCGGCCACAUUGGGACUGAGGUACGGCCCAGACUCCUACGGGAGGCAUCAGUGGGAAAUAUUGCACAAUGGGCGGAAGCCUGAUGCAGCAACGCCGCGUGCGGGAUGACGGCCUUCGGGUUGUAAACCGCUUUCGCCUGUGACGAAGCGUGAGUGACGGUAAUGGGUAAAGAAGCACCGGCUAACUACGUG